UGUCACUGGCCUAGUGGUUAGAGCAUCUGCCUUGGAUGCGGGAGGUCGCGGGUUUGAACCCAGCCGAGUCAUGUCAA